rnacentral:rRNA from 1 species
GAUGAACGCUGGCGGCGUGCAUAACACAUGCAAGUCGAGCGAUUUACUUCGGUAAAGAGCGGCGGACGGGUGAGUAACGCGUGGGUAACCUGCCCUGUACACACGGAUAACAUACCGAAAGGUAUGCUAAUACGAGAUAAUAUGCUUUUAUCGCAUGGUAGAAGUAUCAAAGCUCUGGCGGUACAGGAUGGACCCGCGUCUGAUUAGCUAGUUGGUAAGGUAACGGCUUACCAAGGCGACGAUCAGUAGCCGACCUGAGAGGGUGAUCGGCCACAUUGGAACUGCGACACGGUCCAAACUCCUACGGGAGGCAGCAGUGGGGAAUAUUGCACAAUGGGCGAAAGCCUGAUGCAGCAACGCCGCGUGAGCGAUGAAGGCCUUCGGGUCGUAAAGCUCUGUCCUCAAGGAAGAUAAUGACGGUACUUGAGGAGGAAGCCCCGGCUAACUACGUGCCAGCCGCCCCGUAA